rnacentral:rRNA from 1 species
AGCUCCAAUAGCGUAUAUUAAAGUUGCUGCAGUUAAAAAGCUCGUAGUUGCAUUUCCGAGGCAAGGGAUUAGUCCGACCUUUGGUGGGUAUUUAAUCCUCUUGCCUCGUCCUUGAGUGGUGCUUCUUGGUAUUAAGUUAUCGAGGAGAUAGCCGCUCAUCGUUUACUGUGAGAAAAUUAGAGUGUUCAAAGCAGGCUUAUGCCGUUGAAUAUAUUAGCAUGGAAUAAUAAGAUAGGACCGCGGUACUAUUGUGGGGGUUUGAGAACCAAGGUAAUGAUGAAUAGGGACAGUUGGGGGUAUUCGUAUUCAGUUGUCAGAGGUGAAAUUCUUAGAUUUACGGAAGACGAACUACUGCGAAAGCAUUUACCAAGGAUGUUUUCA